UCCCUUUUGCAGCUAAUGAGAAUCAUCGACAAUUCAACCAUUCACACAUACAGGUUUAUAUCUGGUAUUAGUCACCAUUGGUCUCUGCCGUUCGGGUAUGGGUUGAAGACCAUGACCAACUGAUUAUGCAAUCCAAAAUUGGUUGUUAUAUAUCCAAUCCAGCGAGUUUCUUAAAGCUGCUACAAUCCAACUCAACGAUUCUGAUGUUGGUAAGUUUGUAUUGAAUCACUCUUCAUCAUGGCUGGCUUGCAGCCUUGCAGGGCUCGGUUGAAUCAACUUUUAGAUUUCUACGAUGUUCUCGAUGAAUGCACACCAAUUGCUCGAUGAAAUGCCUGUGUGAAUCUUUUCUUUUGACAGAGACCACUAGUUGUUUGAUUUGUGCUGGGUUUUGAGUAGACUGUUCAAAGGAAUUCUUUUGGUUAGUAUUUUUUGCUGAAAGAUUUGAACUAUUUUGGUAUCUUGCAUUCAUUUCAUCUCUAUAAACAUACGAUAGUUUUGAUACCUAGAUAAAUAUAUGGAUUUCAUAAUUUUUGUGUUCCGUAUACAAGCAAACACUUCAAUACUAUGCUGGUUUAUUGGAUAAGUCACAAUUGAAUAUACACAGUUAGUUGGUCAAUGUGUAGAAGAAUCUCACAAAAUUGGUGGACUUGGCCCACGUAAAAUGCUUUCUUUUAUAAUACCUUCGGCCAGGUUUUAAACGUUUUGAUUACUUUCCGUCCAAAACCGUGGACCGACCCAAACCCGACUCUUGGCAAAUAUAAGAGCAGAGGACCAAGUAUUAUGUAUAAUAUCGGUUCAGUUCCGGAAAAUUUUUGGUCCGAUUCUCGGGUAUUAUCGGGUUGUGCAGAAUUCAGCUCACCCCUAUCUCACUUUAUGGUCAGUUCUUUCUUUAAAGUAUAUUAUCGAGUUUGAUCAUUACAUUCUUACUCAUAGGUUUGAAUUUUUUAGUAUGUAUACUUACUAUAGUUUCUUUGUUGUAGAUAGAUAUGGUGGGAUCUAUCUUGAUUCUAAUUUUAUAGUGAUGAAACCACUCUAUUCGCUAUCCAAUAUGGUCUUAGAGGAUUAAUCAUCUGCAAGUGAUUUGAAUGGAGCUGUGAUGGUAUUUAGAAAGCACAGGUAUUCUAAGUAGCAUCUGCAUGCGCAUCAACUAAACCGAUCAAAUGUGUUAAAAUUGUUGUUCAUUUUAUAAUUUUUCAAAAAUUUGCACAUCGUGUUUAUAAUGGAGUGCUUGAAGGAGUUCUAUAUGCAAUUCCUACGAUUCCGGUUGCAUGUAUUAACUGAAGACGUUGAUUUGGGAUGCCAGUAUGAAGACAUCGGUUUGGGAAGUUGUUGUAUAUAACUUCCAUUUUUAGCGAUAUAUGUAUUUAUUUUACUUAGAAAUUUGUAAUUUUGUGUUACUUUGAAACCUUUGGAAAUGAUUGAUAAAUCCAGAUAGUGAUGGUUUAGCUAAUGUUUAUGCUAAGCAUAUUCUGAUGGAAGGAAAAUCUGGUAAGUUUAAGAAGCUAAAACCAGGAGUUAGGAAGAGGAUGUCUGAUGAAUCAAGAAUGGAUCCUAGAACGAAGACGCCUUGGAUGUGGAUGGUAUAACGCACGGUAAGAUGUCUCAAGAUGGUUCCUCUAAAGAAAAUAUCUCAGCACGUCUUGGAGAAUAUGAAAUGGUGGUACGUAGACGAUGAUACCCGUGUGGCAGUGCUGGAUGAUUUUGAAGAUAAUUGGGCACUUCGACCAUCGUGAGAUAUAUAUCAGUUAUUGUAAAUAUGUAAACGUGAAAAAAAUCCUAAAGCAUGUUUGUCUAUUCUUGCUUCCAUAGAAAAAAAAGGUUGUUUUCAAAUGGAAUUGAAAUAAAAGUUAUACAUAAAUUCACAAUGAUCAAA